AGUAAAAUGCGUCACACUCACUGACUUGACAAACAUGUACUGAGGGCUGCUAUGGGCCAGGGCCAGGCGAACACCCAUUUUUAAGAACGCAUCAUUUGGCCUUAGUAAUAACCAUCUGUGCCUCAGUUUCCUCUUUCAUCAGUAAAACGGGGAUCAGAGUACCUCCCCGGGGCCUGGGAAGACUGAAGGAGGUAAUGCGGGGACAGCUCAGCGCGGGCCUGGCCCACAGCAAGGGGCGCUCCGGGGCCGACUUCAGGACAGGCCCUGGCUCUUGCACCAGACAGAACACGGGCACCACUUGCACCUGCUGGGUCUCAGGCUCUGGCCAGCAACGUCGUUUCUCGAGCCACACCGGUCAGUGCUGGCAACACCGGUUCGUCUCUGCACUGCCCCCCCCAGCCCAUGAUUGCUCAUGGAGGGAGACAAAAGCGGCUGCUCUUGAAGACGCUCAGUGGCUUUCCUCGGUGCGGGGGAUUCACGCCUGUGCUGGUUGGUAAUUCUAGGGGCUGGAGAAGGAAGGAGCGGAAAUAAGCACAUUAAAACUGUUCUCUCAUACGAUUCCACCCAGUCUACCGCCAGGAGGUGUGGGCUGGGUCGCAGGUUUUUCCUGGGGAAACUCAAAGAUACAGGUACUUGAAGGAUACAACUUUUAAGAUUUGGUAGCAAUUUUAAACCGUUCUGUUGAGAUGCUGCUUUAUUUCCUAUCACUGCUUUUAUUUCCUCUCAUGCCCCAGGAUCCUUGUUCAGGGCUUGCACACCUGCCGUUCCUCCUGAGGAAACACUAUGCCUGCCACGUGGACCCAGCAGCUCCUUCUCAUGCUCAAAUCUGGAAAAAUGAAAAGUUGAAGAAAACUGACGUCCCCCUUUGAUUAACAGUUUGACUUCAUGGAACUGAUCCAACAGAGAGAGCUUGCACUGAACACCUGUGCACCUCAGAUGUGCCAGGGCACCUAUCCCAGCACUGUUUACCGGAGCAAACACCUAAAGUCCGUCUCAGGGGCUAGACGAGUCCUGGGGAGACUUCACGAGGAGUACCGUGCCGUUCUUGCAAUAUGUACCCACAUACGGGACGAUCUCCAAGACUGACUAUCGAGUAUAGAUUCAGAGGCGCUCCCCAACCUGUACGCCUUGAGGAACUGGGGCUGGCAGCGCGGCGUCCUACAGAGAACAAACGUUUCCAGGUAAAUACUGUCAGUUCUGCUGUUGGAUCACGAUAGGGUUUCCUUUCCCCCUGCAUUUUUCUAUUGUACUUCUGACUUCACACUUCUCUAUUUUCAACAAAGGGAGGAAGAACAUUCUUUUAAUAAGCUUUCUGAAAAGUUAAAAUCAGGAGCUAAGCUGAAAGAAAAGAAUGAGGUGGCUCUAUAAUGUAUAAUAUGGGAAGUCUACAACAUAUAGUAAGUAAUGAAGACAAUGUUUCAAUACCAUUCGUGUUAAAAAAAAUUAAGAUUGGUGGCCAGCCCCGUGGCCGAGUGGUUAAGUCCGUGCGCUCCGCUGCAGGUGGCCCACGGUUUCGUUCGUUCAAAUCGUGGGCGCGGACAUGGCACUGCUCAUCAAGCCAUGCUGAGGCAGCAUCCCACAUGCCACAAGUAGAAGGACCCACAACGAAGAAUAUACAACUGUGUACUGGGGGGCUUUGGGGAGAAAAAGGAAAAAAAUAAAAUCUUUAAAAAAAGAAAAUUAAGAUAUAUGCUCAUACAUGCUGGUGUAUGCACAGCAUAUCCCUGAAAGGUGUUCAAAAAACGGGAGCAGCUCCAUCUGAGGAGAGUCAUCUGGGAGGAGCAGCUCCAUCUGAGGAGAGCCAUGGGGGGAGCAGCUUCACCUGGGGAGAGUCAUCUGAAAGAAACUGCUUCAUCUGGGGGAUCAGGGAUGAAAGAAAGAUUUACUUUACCAUAUUAGAGUGUUUGGAGUUUUAGAAAACAAUUACAUGUUUUACAUCUAUUAAACAAAUAAAAGAUUAAAGAAUGAUUAAAAAAAUUAAAAUGUUUUUUUUUACAAAUUUAAAAAAAUUUGUAACUGAUUUGUUGAGACUGUGUGUGAAAUUACUUCUCCUACAGUUUUCCAGUUGGCUCAGUGUUACUAAUAGAAAGCUUGCAGAUCUUCGUAGAACGGAAUUUCCUAAAAGUGCUUUUUGCUAACUAAUUCUGUUUGGUUAUCACCUCCAUGAUGGUUGGGGGAUGGAGUUUUGUUUUGUUUUGUUUUACUUUGACUGUUUCAUACCUUUCAUUUAAUGCCUCGUAUGUACUGCACAGCUGUCAUGGGUCUGGGGCUAAGUUCUUUCUAUGUAGUAACUUAUUUACUCUCCCAGAAACCACUGACAUAGAUGCUACCACCCCUGUUCUAACCAAGGGAAACAUUGAACAGAGAGGUUAAGUGACUUGCCCAAAGCCACACAACCAGAAAUACAGUGAAGCGUCCCCCGGGCCCUUGGCUACAGAGCCCAUGACCUAACCACUGCCCAGCACAGCCCUCAGAGAGGAAGAGCGGUGAGCUGCUGCGCAGGUGGGCUUCUGCAGCCUUGGGAGCUAGUGGAACCAGCUCAAGGCCACACGUAUCCACAAACUCCUUAGAGAAAUGGGUAUCUGUUUAUAUAAGAACUAGCUGGGGCAGCACGGUGUGCAGAAAACCUUCUAAUUUUGAGUUAGUUUUCUUACUUCUUUGUAACAAAGACUCCUAAAGGAAUAGAAAGCUUAAACUGAAUCUCACACAUCUAUAUUGUUGAGAAACUAUUAACAACUCAAAAAGUUCCCUUAUGGCUGGAAGAUGUAGGAUUCUACUGUUUAUUCAUCAAAAUGAACACAGAUGUGCACAACAUAAAUACUAAAGUUAUUACCAAUGGGAUCUCUGUUACUCUUGGCAAAGAAACCACGAGUGAGAUAAUUACUAACAAGACUGCAUAAAUACCAUUUAAAAAUGCUAGACCGCCCCCCCCCCAAAAAAA
rnacentral:lncRNA from 1 species